AAUUAGCCUAAGCAUUAUGAGAGGCUUUGCACCUGCGUCACGUCACGAUGGUCACGAGCCGCUGCUUGUUAUUUUGCCCGUUAGAGCUGUCUCAUGUUGUUGCUGCAAUUUUAACUGAAGGGAGAGUUUGGCUGGACCGUUACUGGACAUGGAGCAGCACCAUAUGGCAGUCUGCCUCAGGACUGUUUCAUAGUUUUUUCAUCUGACUGGGACUGUGUUUGCCCCCGGGAUGUGAUCGCCAUCAGACCAGGGUUUGAGAGGAAGAGAGACAGCUACUGUUGAUUUAAAGCUGGGGAGCCAAAUCUGUAGGACCAGAGUUAGGAGGUGGAUCGACCCCUGACAAAAGAACCUCCUGAAGCACAGAAUAGUAAGGGACCACCACAACAGACUGAGAAAACAGAAGUGUUGGCGAGUAAUAGAGGACACCCUUCGGCCGAUCG